rnacentral:rRNA from 1 species
GAUGAACGCUGGCGGCGUGCCUAACACAUGCAAGUCGAACGGUUAAGCCACCUUCGGGUGGGCAUACAGUGGCGAACGGGUGAGUAACACGUGGGUAACCUGCCCAUAAGAGGGGAUAACAUCCGGAAACGGGUGCUAAUACCGCAUAGGUUUCUUGGUCGCAUGAUCGAGAAAGGAAAGACGGCCUUUGUGCUGUCGCUUAUGGAUGGACCCGNGGCGUAUUAGUUAGUUGGUGAGGUAAUGGCUCACCAAGACGAUGAUACGUAGCCGACCUGAGAGGGUGAUCGGCCACAUUGGGGACUGAGACACGGCCCAAACUCCUACGGGAGCAGCAGUAGGGAAUC